UAGGCGACGAUCCCUAGCUGGUCUGAGAGGAUGACCAGCCACACUGGAACUGAGACACGGUCCAGACUCCUACGGGAGGCAGCAGUGGGGAAUAUUGCACAAUGGGCCGCAGCCUGAUGCAGCCAUGCCGCGUGUAUGAGAAGGCCUUCGGGUUGUAAAGUACUUUCAGCGGGGAGGAAGGGAGUAAAGUUAAUACCUUUGCUCAUUGACGUUACCCGCAGAAGAAGCACCGGCUAACUCCGUGCCAGCAGCCGCGGUAAUACGGAGGGUGCAAGCGUUAAUCGGAAUUACUGGG
rnacentral:rRNA from 1 species